CAAAUCUAAUAUCACAUUCAUAUUUCUUUUAAUCUUAUAAUGAUGAUUUGAUGAAUGACAUAUUAGAAAUUCUUUCUAAUUUUCAUCCUAUUUGGAUCAAAGACUCUCUGAAUCAUCAGUCGAUUAAAGUAAGUAGGAUGUGAUCUCCUCUUACUAGGAGUGAUUGAUUCUAUAUUGACCUACUCACAACCUUCAUACAUAAUUCACCAUAUCCAAAACACCCC
rnacentral:lncRNA from 1 species